rnacentral:rRNA from 1 species
AACGAACGCUGGCGGCAUGCCUAACACAUGCAAGUCGAACGAGACCUUCGGGUCUAGUGGCGCACGGGUGCGUAACGCGUGGGAAUCUGCCCUCAGGUACGGAAUAACUCAGGGAAACUUGAGCUAAUACCGUAUAAUGACUUCGGUCCAAAGAUUUAUCGCCUGGGGAUGAGCCCGCGUCGGAUUAGCUAGUUGGUGAGGUAAAGGCUCACCAAGGCGACGAUCCGUAGCUGGUCUGAGAGGAUGAUCAGCCACACUGGGACUGAGACACGGCCCAGACUCCUACGGGAGGCAGCAGUGGGGAAUAUUGGACAAUGGGCGCAAGCCUGAUCCAGCAAUGCCGCGUGAGUGAUGAAGGCCUUAGGGUUGUAAAGCUCUUUUACCCGGGGAGAUAAUGACUGUACCGGGAGAAUAAGCCCCGGCUAACUCCGUGCCAGCAGCCGCGGUAAUACGGAGGGGGCUAGCGUUGUUCGGAAUUACUGGCGUAAAGCGCACGUA